GGGGGCGUAAAGGUUUCGACGUGGGUUUGGAACUUGAGGUUGCGUGUCGUGUUACUCUGGGUCACGUAAAAACUGGGGAAAAAAACAAACGCAAACGAUAAUUACGCUUUAGCAGCCUAGUUGCUGCUCGUCCCGCCUAGCCCUCCUGCCGGCCGGGCCUGGACGUCAUUUAUGCAGGGAACUACUUUUUGGGUGUCUCGACUAAAAGUAGACUAAUUGGGACUGGCCGAUCAUAAAGCUUGCCACUGGGCGUUAUGUGAGGCGAGAUUUUAAAUCAGUUGGCUACACACGUAGAUACAGCGAGGAAAGGACUUGCGGACAGGGGUUCGAUUCCCCUCGUCUCCACCA
rnacentral:tmRNA from 1 species